rnacentral:rRNA from 1 species
AAACCGGAGGGAAGGUGGGGAUGACGUCAAGUCAUCAGUGGCCCUUACGGCCUGGGCUACACACGUGCUACAAUGGUCGGUACAAAGGGUUGCCAAGCCGCGAGGUGGAGCUAAUCCCAUAAAACCGAUCGUAGUCCGGAUCGCAGUCUGCAACUCGACUGCGUGAAGUCGGAAUCGCUAGUAAUCGUGAAUCAGAAUGUCACGGUGAAUACGUUCCCGGGCCUU